AUGCGUAAACCUAAGUGUGCAUUUGUAGGCGGUGUCGAAAUGGGUCUAUAGCUCUGCCUGAACUGUCGUCCAAUUGGUUUACAAGUCCGGCUGAAGUGACAGGCCAUCAAAAACUGUACAGUGUGACUGAUUCGGAGACAGCCCUCAACACUCGCCCAGUCGUGUCGAGAGGAUCGGUGUCUUUGCAGAUUACACGGAAUUGAGCACCCGGGCCAGACUGACACUUUCCGGAGCCUGCCCGAGACGGAACUCGAGCCGAGGAAUCAUAGGUCCAGGCGGUGUCGAAAUGGGUCUAUAGCUCUGCCUGAACUGUCGUCCAAUUGGUUUACAAGUCCGGCUGAAGUGACAGGCCAUCAAAAACUGUACAGUGUGACUGAUUCGGAGACGGCCCUCAACACUCGCCCAGUCGUGUCGAGAGGAUCGGUGUCUUUGCAGAUUACACGGAAUUGAGCACCCGGGCCAGACUGACACUUUCCGGAGCCUGCCCGAGACGGAACUCGAGCCGAGGAAUCAUAGGUCCAGGCGGUGUCGAAAUGGGUCUAUAGCUCUGCCUGAACUGUCGUAUAAUUGGUUUACAAGUCCGGCUGAAGUGACAGGCCAUCAAAAACUGUACAGUGUGACUGAUUCGGAGACGGCCCUCAACACUCGCCCAGUCGUGUCGAGAGGAUCGGUGUCUUUGCAGAUUACACGGAAUUGAGCACCCGGGCCAGACUGACACUUUCCGGAGCCUGCCCGAGACGGAACUCGAGCCGAGGAAUCAUAGGUCCAGGCGGUGUCGAAAUGGGUCUAUAGCUCUGCCUGAACUGUCGUCCAAUUGGUUUACAAGUCCGGCUGAAGUGACAGGCCAUCAAAAACUGUACAGUGUGACUGAUUCGGAGACGGCCCUCAACACUCGCCCAGUCGUGUCGAGAGGAUCGGUGUCUUUGCAGAUUACACGGAAUUGAGCACCCGGGCCAGACUGACACUUUCCGGAGCCUGCACGAGACGGAACUCGAGCCGAGGAAUCAUAGGUCCAGGUGUGACAAAAGACUUAAAGCUCAUGUCUGACGAUGACUUUUUUUAGUCAGGAAGUCAAGUGUGUUGUUUUUCCAUGCAAGCGAGCCCUUUUGUUGGGUCAAAUGACAUCAGAAUUGCUGCUUCUACAUGGAUUUUACCUAAAAUGUGCAAAAAAAAUAAAAAAAGUUUGUUCGAA